CUUAACACAUGCAAGUCGAACGGAAAGGCCCUGCUUUUGUGGGGUGCUCGAGUGGCGAACGGGUGAGUAACACGUGAGUAACCUGCCCUUGACUUUGGGAUAACUUCAGGAAACUGGGGCUAAUACCGGAUAGGAGCUCCUGCUGCAUGGUGGGGGUUGGAAAGUUUCGGCGGUUGGGGAUGGACUCGCGGCUUAUCAGCUUGUUGGUGGGGUAGUGGCUUACCAAGGCUUUGACGGGUAGCCGGCCCGAGAGGGUGACCGGCCACAUUGGGACUGAGAUACGGCCCAGACUCCUACGGGAGGCAGCAGUGGGGAAUAUUGCACAAUGGGCGGAAGCCUGAUGCAGCAACGCCGCGUGCGGGAUGACGGCCUUCGGGUUGUAAACCGCUUUCGCCUGUGACGAAGCGUGAGUGACGGUAAUGGGUAAAGAAGCACCGGCUAACUACGUGCCAGCAGCCGCGGUGAUACGUAGGGUGCGAGCGUUGUCCGGAUUUAUUGGGCGUAAAGGGCUCGUAGGUGGUUGAUCGCGUCGGAAGUGUAAUCUUGGGGCUUAACCCUGAGCGUGCUUUCGAUACGGGUUGACUUGAGGAAGGUAGGGGAGAAUGGAAUUCCUGGUGGAGCGGUGGAAUGCGCAGAUAUCAGGAGGAACACCAGUGGCGAAGGCGGUUCUCUGGGCCUUUCCUGACGCUGAGGAGCGAAAGCGUGGGGAGCGAACAGGCUUAGAUACCCUGGUAGUCCACGCUGUAAACGGUGGGUACUAGGUGUGGGGUCCAUUCCACGGGUUCCGUGCCGUAGCUAACGCUUUAAGUACCCCGCCUGGGGAGUACGGCCGCAAGGCUAAAACUCAAAGGAAUUGACGGGGCCCCGCACAAGCGGCGGAGCAUGCGGAUUAAUUCGAUGCAACGCGUAGAACCUUACCUGGGUUUGACAUGGAUCGGGAGUGCUCAGAGAUGGGUGUGCCUCUUUUGGGGUCGGUUCACAGGUGGUGCAUGGCUGUCGUCAGCUCGUGUCGUGAGAUGUUGGGUUAAGUCCCGCAACGAGCGCAACCCUUGUUCACUGUUGCCAGCACGUUAUGGUGGGGACUCAGUGGAGACCGCCGGGGUCAACUCGGAGGAAGGUGGGGAUGACGUCAAGUCAUCAUGCCCCUUAUGUCCAGGGCUUCACGCAUGCUACAAUGGCUGGUACAGAGAGUGGCGAGCCUGUGAGGGUGAGCGAAUCUCGGAAAGCCGGUCUCAGUUCGGAUUGGGGUCUGCAACUCGACCUCAUGAAGUCGGAGUCGCUAGUAAUCGCAGAUCAGCAACGCUGCGGUGAAUACGUUCCCGGGGCUUGUACACACCGCCCGUCAAGUCAUGAAAGUUGGUAACACCCGAAGCCGGUGGCCUAACCGUUGUGGGGGAGCCGUCGAAGGUGGGACUGGUGAUUAGGACUAAGUCGUAAC
rnacentral:rRNA from 1 species